rnacentral:tRNA from 1 species
CCAUCGGUGAUUCAGUGGUAGAAUGCUCGCCUGCCACACGGGCGGCCCGGGUUCGAUUCCCGGCCGAUGCA